GACGUAGGGCGCGAGCGUUGUCCGGAUUUAUUGGGCGUAAAGAGCUCGUAGGCGGCUUGUCGCGUCGACUGUGAAAACCCGCGGCUCAACCGCGGGCCUGCAGCCGAUACGGGCAGGCUAGAGUUCGGCAGGGGAGACUGGAAUUCCAGGUGUAGUGGUGGAAUGCGUAGAGAUCCGGAGGAACACCAGCGGCGAAGGCGGCAUCCUGGACUGGUCCUGACACUCAGGAGCGAAAGCGUGGGGAGCGGUCCGG
rnacentral:rRNA from 1 species